rnacentral:rRNA from 1 species
UACAGAGGGUGCGAGCGUUAAUCGGAAUUACUGGGCGUAAAGCGUGCGUAGACGGUCAUGUAAGUCGGAUGUGAAAGCCCCGGGCUCAACCUGGGAAUUGCAUUCGAGACUGCAUGGCUUGGGUGCGGAAGAGGGAAGCGGAAUUUCCGGUGUAGCGGUGAAAUGCGUAGAUAUCGGAAGGAACACCAGUGGCGAAAGCGGCUUCCUGGUCCGAACACCGACGUCAGGCACGAAAGCGUGGGGAGCAA